CCUGGGGGGGGAGGGGAGAAUUGCCAAGGGGCCCAGGCCAUUUGAAAAGGCCAGCGGGCCCCGAGCCACUGCCACAGUAGCAGCAGGCCCUUCUAAAUCGCCCAGCCCGGCUGCCCUAGGAGCUCACGGUGUGGUACCAGCAGCAGUGAAGGCAGCCAGGGCAGACAUGUAGAAGCCCAGCCAUGCCGGCAGCAGCUUGCUGGGCACCAGCAAGCGCAGGCGGCAGCACCGCCCAAAUGUCAGGUGGGCUGUUCAGGCCUGGCCCCUCCCCUUUCAAAGUUCUGGGAAGUCCUGACAGCUGAGCAUACAAUUCAAGCAGCAAACAGCAAAUCAUUACCAUGGAAUUUCAGCUCCCCCGCCCACUAGGAACACAACAGCAGGCAUUAAGGGGGAAGGUGGGGACUGAUGAACUCAGCUGCCCUGCAUCUAGCUAUGUACACAUGCGCCCCUCCCCUUUCAAAGCUCCAGGAAGCUCUGACAUUUCUCAGAGUGGAGAGCUCACAGAGCUGCUGAGGAUGUUGCUCCCAGCAGCUGAGGACACUGUGGGAGAACUCAGAGGGAAUCACAGAACCGCAGGCAGGCAGGCAGAGAGGGAUGCUGCUAGGGGGAGAAGUGUCCACAUACUGUUUCUGUCUCUCCCCACACACACCAGUCCCUUGUCACGCUCUCCCCACACACACGUCAGUUGAAAAGCAGCUGGCAAUCUACUAGGAUGCCCAUGGAAGGAUGGGAUUGAGAAACCUGCAUCAUGUGAUGCGGUACCUUCCCCAGGAGGCAUUGCACACCCUUCCCAAAGCACCCUGCGGCCCCCUUCCACAGUGGGAUAAGGACCCACGGUGCACCUCUCUUGUGUUAAUGCAAAAGCUGUUAGUGGGGAUGCACUCUGUGAACACAAGGAACAUAGUGUGGACAUGCAACAGUAGUUUAAUUCAAGACAUUUAAUUAAAGCGGUAUAACUUUUGUCGACAAAAUUCUGUAGUGUAGACAAGGCCUAAAAAGUUAGUAUCUUCAAAUUCUGACCAUUUGUGUGGUAUGUUUUACUGCGUAUACCUGGUUACUUUCAACAUUAAAGCAUCAUGUAGAAGACACUGGUUUUCAAAUAAUGUUUUCCAUUACCACCUUCAUGAGAGUCUGGUGAGUUAAAGACGCAGGUUCUUUCAUUUACUUCCCUCCCUCUGAGAUUUCAUAGGGUACUUUCAGAACGAAGUAUACAAAACACUUUGGGGUACUGAUUUCUCCUUUACUAUUUUGUAGUGUAAGCCUUAGGUUGGUCUAAUUCACAUUUCAGAGGUCUGUAGCUCAUAUAGGCCCUUUUACAAUACCUUUCGCCUGUGUAACUAGACUUGCUCUCCUGGCUGUCAAAGGCGCUUACUAUUUGUGAUAUUUCCGAGAUCUUAAAACAGGGAUUUUGCACCAUUAAUGCAGCACUAACAAUUUGCCAAAGGGCUUCACACCAUUCCUUCAAUUUAGCAAUACCUGUGUUACAAACUACAAGUCCCAGCAUGCAUGGUAUCAUUUGGCACGCUGAAACCUGUAAUCAACCCCCACCUCGGUGUUUCCCAAGCAAACUGUGCCUAAUCCAGUGGGGAUGGAGCGCUUCCACGAGUAAAGGCGCAGGUGGGCAGCACAGCAUCCCCAACAGUUGGCACAGAAGCAACUCAGGUGUACAGCGCUGCAGGGUAGAGGCAGCACCACAGCUGCCCACGGGUCCUGUUUCUCCUUUGCCGCUCACCUAGAGUGCAAGAGUCGCGGCACAACAGGGCCAGACUCCCCUCACACCCAGCAGCGCCCACAGGCGCGCGCUGCUUGGGAAGCCGGGAAGGGGCGCAACACACACAAGAUAACAACAAAAAGUUAAGAAGCCACAAACGCGACAGAAGCGAGGAGCAGGAAAACAGGAGGCGGCGACGUGAAAACCGCUCAGCUCACGGCACGAGAGGAUGCGGGCCGGGGGGAGCUGCAAGCCACAGGAGGGGGGCAGUAAGGUCCGGGACUACCGCCUGGGGCAACGGGCCGGAGACAGUGGGCGGAGAGCGGCGCCGCCAGCGCCCACGCGCUGCCCCGCUCAGGCCACCGGCGCGACGCGACGCCGCCUCGCCUCCCAGCACGGCCAGGGUGCCCCGGCGAGAUGGGCAGGCCCCUGACGUCACGCACAAGACGCCCAGGCGGCGCGAGCACAUCCCAGAUCAGAGAUUCUCAAACUGAGGUCCGCAAGCUUCAUUCAGGUGGUCUCCGGAUAGUUCUCUCUAAGGUGCACACCUGGGCGGCUACACACAAGAGACUGAAGGGCCGCCCAUCUAAUUAGUGGCUCCAAUCAGAUGCCUGGACCCUGGAGAAGAUGGACAUGUAAGAUACAGACUAACAGGGCUGCUACUCUGAAACCUAUCUUUCACAUGUAGCUCCUCCUGGGCAACAGGCUCUGAGUCUAGAUGGCUGGCUGGGAAGGGCCCAUUGAAGUUAAAGGGCCAUUAGGAAAACAAUAAGCCUUAGGAGAAGCUUAUCUCUCACCUGGGGAGCCUUCCUGAGAAAGCUACAACCAGCCUCCAAGUAAUGGCUGCUGUGGCACUACAGGGACAUGUGACCAGAUCACCUGGUGCUGGACUCCAUCUUGGGAUAUCAGUAUUUUUUCACUGGCUGGCAUGGGAACCAAGUUCUGAAACAAAGGGUUCCUGCCAUAUGCAAAAGCUCUAGAAGGCAGGGGAGUGAUGUCAUUUGGGUUCUUUACUGACUUCCCCCACCCAAGAAGACUCCUGGAAACAUCUGAGGAACAAAGACUGAACUGGGGGGAAGUGCUAGACUCAGGCUAAAGGGAUUUUUAGCCUGCAAAAGGAACAUCUGGAGAUUCCAAGCUGUAAACAAGUGCAGCGUGCCCCUUAAGAAUAUUCAGCCUGCUUGUAUCAUCACUGAGGGUGAGAGUUUGCUAUUCAUAUCCAAUAUAUGAAGUAUAUUAAGCUUAGUUUGGGAUUUUUGUUUAUUUGCCUUGAUCUGUUUGCUAUUCCUUAUCACUUAAUCUAUUUUUUUGUAGUUAAUAAACUUGGUUUUGUUUUCUCUAAAACCAGUGUGUGGGAGUCAU